CUCCUCGGCUCUCGCGCUGCUGCUGCUGCUGCCUCCUGCUAUGUGAAUGUCCCAGCUCAUGGAGUACACUGUCUGUUGUACACAGUGAGAGCUGACAGAGUGUCGAGCUUCUUGGUUUCCAAAAGCCAGAAUGGAGCACAGACAUGUGGCUUCACUCAUUAUAUAUAUAAUGUACCACACUGUCUGCUGCCUGCCCCACUCCUGUUGCCUCCUAUCCCAUCAAAUUGUUCCUCAUGGCCCCUGGCACUCUAUGCACAUGCCGCUUGGAGGUAGGGGUAACAUGCUGCUUAGCUCAGGCUUUUACUGACUGCACAGCAAGGCCCUCUUUCCGGCUGAUCCUACCGGGACUGUCCCCUUCACCCAAGACACAAGCCAAGUAACUCCCUAAAGCAGAAGCAACAGCCAGGAUGGAGGAAAUACAGAUCCCUUACAACAAGAAUAUCUCCUGUGUGUUUAUGAACAGUUUAAACCUCACAAUCAGAAACAUUACACAAGCCUGGACAACAGCCAUCCUGCCAUAAAACAACCCUUGCAGCUACAGUAAUGUCCAUAUCAAAGAGAUGCAAAUAACUGGACACACUGGUGUGGGUGCAGGGAUAGCAAGAGUUCUGUUGGAUCUGAGAUUCUGCUGGAUCAACAAUCCUCCUUCCAUCUUAGUUAUUUCCCUUUUUAUGUUAUACCUUUUAGUUCCUUUGUAAAUAAAUUCCACUUAUUUAAACAUCA